GACGAACGCUGGCGGCGUGCUUAACACAUGCAAGUCGAACGGAAAGGCCCUGCUUUUGUGGGGUGCUCGAGUGGCGAACGGGUGAGUAACACGUGAGUAACCUGCCCUUGACUUUGGGAUAACUUCAGGAAACUGGGGCUAAUACCGGAUAGGAGCUCCUGCUGCAUGGUGGGGUUUGGAAAGUUUCGGCGGUUGGGGAUGGACUCGCGGUUUAACAGCUUGUUGGUGGGGUAGUGGCUUACCAAGGCUUUGACGGGUAGCCGGCCUGAGAGGGUGACCGGCCACAUUGGGACUGAGAUACGGCCCAGACUCCUACGGGAGGCAGCAGUGGGGAAUAUUGCACAAUGGGCGGAAGCCUGAUGCAGCAACGCCGCGUGCGGGAUGACGGCCUUCGGGUUGUAAACCGCUUUCGCCUGUGACGAAGCGUGAGUGACGGUAAUGGGUAAAGAAGCACCGGCUAACUACGUG
rnacentral:rRNA from 1 species